rnacentral:rRNA from 1 species
CGUAGGUGAACCUGCGGAGGGAUCAUUACCGAGUGGAGGGCGCCUCCGGGCGCCCGACCUCCCCAACCCUUUGAUUUGAUCAAGACCUCCUUCUGCCUCGGGGCGGACCGCAACCCAAGGCCGGCGCAACCCGCCGGCGGGCCCAGGUCUCCCCGGUGGCGAUUUAACCCCAACUCUGCAUCAAUUGUCGUCGGAAUAUUGAAGCGAAUUCAAUCAAAACUUUCAACAACGGAUCUCUUGGUUCUGGCAUCGAUGAAGAACGCGGCGAAAUGCGAUAAGUAAUGUGAAUUGCAGAAUUCAGUGAAUCAUCGAAUCUUUGAACGCACAUUGCGCCCCCUGGCAUUCCGGGGGGCAUGCCUGUUCGAGCGUCAUUACACCAAUCACGCCUGGCGUGGUAUUGGGCGACGGGGCCUUCACACGCCCCGCGCCCCAAUGACUCCCCGGCGGGACGGACCGUAUCUCAGCGUUGUGCAAAUGUCGCUGGCGAGGCGGGACGGCCGUGCCGCGAAAACCUCAUUAUCUCAGGUUGACCUCGGAUCAGGUAGGGAUACCCGCUGAACUUAAGCAUAUCAAUAAGCGGAGGAAAAGAA